rnacentral:rRNA from 1 species
CCGGCACGGGUGAGUAACACGUAUGCAAUCCACCUGUAACAGGGGGAGUAACCCGGAGAAAUCCGGACUAAUACCCCAUAAUAUGGGCGCUCCGCAUGGAGAGUCCAUUAAAGAGAGCAAUCUUGGUUACAGACGAGCAUGCGCUCCAUUAGCCAGUUGGCGGGGUAACGGCCCACCAAGGCGACGAUGGAUAGGGGUUCUGAGAGGAAGGUCCCCCACAUUGGAACUGAGACACGGUCCAA